ensembl:lncRNA
GCCUAGCUUAAUUCUGUGUGCUUUUUAUUAGAACACAGAUUAAAAACAAGAGAUUAAAAACAAGGAAGUCAAAAUUCUAAUUUUAGUAGCUUCUUCAGGUUGGCCAAGAGCUAGCACCAUUGGGCCAAUGGGCACCGUUAUUUGGGGUUACAGCACAUUCCCCAAACCUUACUACUUACACUCUGUAAAUAAACACAAUUAGUUGAGUUAGCUGAUGACUGCCCAUAUAGCUGAUAGAGGCACGGGCUGAGGUCCAGGACUUAGAUCCUGCCAAGGACAGGCACGUGCAGUAAAAUCUGGAGCGGUUUUUGAUAGGUGCAGGGGAGUGAGCAGCUGCACAAAAAUGAUUAAGUGACUCAUUAAUAUCAAUCAUCUCCUGGCUUCUAGCAAAUCCUCGCUCUCUGAAGCAUCUUUGUCGCCUGAAGAUACGGGAAUGCAUGGGCCGGCUGCGUCUCCGUUGUCCUGUCUUCAUGACCUUCCUUCCGCUGCCAAACUGCUUGAAAGAUUACAUACUAUACAAGGAAUACGACCUCUAUGGACCGGAAAGUUUCCUGGGAACCUCCAGUGUCAACUGCACAUAAUUAUUCUGUAUUUUGAAGGGAACGUUGAGCCUUAGAUGUGUAUGGUCCAUGUGACACUACGAAGGCAACAUCUGGCCGCAGGCUGACGCCACAUGGCCUGACUGGAUAACAGCAAAAGCAGGUACUUCUGCAAGCUACUGGCUACUCUGAGGACGAACGUGCUGAAACAGAAGGAAGAGAACCUGGAGCCUCUCUCUUGCUCAGUCUCCCACUCCAUCUCCUCUUUUAAACACCGUGAGCGCUUCCACAGCUGCUCAAUCCCUUCUGUAUGCUGUGGUGCCAGUGGCACCGUGAGAGCAAUGCUCCCUUUUCUCUCCUGUGACAGGAGGCAGGUGCAGUUGGUUGCUGCAUAGAAAUGCCUAUCUAUCUCCAGCAUAAAAAGCAGGAGGAGAUUGCCUUUGUUAGCCUAUGCAAAACAACUUCUGUGCAAUUAAGGACAGCGUUCCUUUCUUGCAUCUACAGCCAUCUAGCACAGAGGUCCUGAAAUUCCUCACUUAAUCAGCACCAUGCAAUUCUAGCUAUGAAGGGCUGGGCUGAAAGCCGAAGACUAAAAAUGCUCUGCAAUGAACUGUAAAACACUCUUAACCAUUAUAAAACAUCUUAGAAUAUAUUCUUCUCUUUCUACAUUUUCUGUUAUGCUCAGGCCACUAUUAGAGAGACAUCUGUUCCAUUAGAGUUUAGUAUUUAUAGUAAUUAGUGCAAAAAUAAAUAUUUCUUCUUACUUCAAACACGUUUUCUUUUCUGGAUCAAAAGAUGAAUGCACAUUUAGUAUUAUACAAAAUAAAUAUUACACAGGGUAUGGACCGUGGAGUUCAGGCUUAUGAGGUAUAAACAGAGACUGCUUUGAAAACUGCGUUAGGAGGCUGACUUUAGGAUGCAGACUGGCAUAGUCUUGCACUUCUGUUUGCAAAAUACAGUUCAUAAAAAGACUUAGAAAGCUUUAACUCAGCAAAUGCAGAAUACUGGUAGCAAGGCCUUUCUGGAUUCAGAUUUUUCCAAGUGGUGGAAUUCAAUAUUUCUUCAACUCUACACGUGUUUUUAUUUAACAUGAACUCAACAGCUUGCUGCUCUUCAUUACACACUGGGGAACAACCACUGGUGGCACUUGUGCAACAAGAAUGUAUGCAUUAUAUUUACUAUUUGAUAAG